rnacentral:tRNA from 1 species
GCCUGGGUGGCUCAGUCGGUUGGGCAUCCGACUUCGGCUCAGGUCAUGAUCUCACAGUUUGUGGGUUCAAGCCCCAUGCCGGGCU